AGAGUUUGAUCCUGGCUCAGGACGAACGCUGGCGGCGCGCCUAACACAUGCAAGUCGAACGAGAGCUUAGGAGCUUGCUUUUUAAGCUUAGUGGCGAACGGGUGAGUAACGCGUGAGUAACCUGCCCUAGAGAGGGGGACAACAGUUGGAAACGACUGCUAAUACCGCAUAAGCCCACGGUACCGCAUGGUACUGAGGGAAAAGGAUUUAUUCGCUUUAGGAUGGACUCGCGUCCAAUUAGCUAGUUGGUGAGGUAACGGCCCACCAAGGCGACGAUUGGUAGCCGGACUGAGAGGUUGAACGGCCACAUUGGGACUGAGACACGGCCCAGACUCCUACGGGAGGCAGCAGUGGGGGAUAUUGCACAAUGGGGGAAACCCUGAUGCAGCGACGCCGCGUGGAGGAAGAAGGUUUUCGGAUUGUAAACUCCUGUCGUUAGGGACGAUAAUGACGGUACCUAACAAGAAAGCACCGGCUAACUACGUGCCAGCAGCCGCGGUAAAACGUAGGGUGCAAGCGUUGUCCGGAAUUACUGGGUGUAAAGGGAGCGCAGGCGGGAAGACAAGUUGGAAGUGAAAACCAUGGGCUCAACCCAUGAAUUGCUUUCAAAACUGUUUUUCUUGAGUAGUGCAGAGGUAGAUGGAAUUCCCGGUGUAGCGGUGGAAUGCGUAGAUAUCGGGAGGAACACCAGUGGCGAAGGCGGCCUACUGGGCACCAACUGACGCUGAGGCUCGAAAGCAUGGGUAGCAAACAGGAUUAGAUACCCUGGUAGUCCAUGCCGUAAACGAUGAUUACUAGGUGUUGGGGGAUUGACCCCUUCAGUGCCGCAGUUAACACAAUAAGUAAUCCACCUGGGGAG
rnacentral:rRNA from 1 species